AGCUCCAAUAGCGUAUAUUAAAGUUGUUGCAGUUAAAAAGCUCGUAGUUGGAUUUGUGGCUGUCACUGUCCGUUCUUCACUUAGUGUUGAAUUGGUUGGUGUCGCCAUCCUUGGGUGGAUCCUGUGUGGCAUUAGGUUGUCGUGCAGGGGAUGCCCAUCCUUUACUGUGAAAAAAUUAGAGUGUUCAAAGCAGGCUUAUGCCGUUGAAUAUAUUAGCAUGGAAUAAUGAGAUAGGACCUUGGUACUAUUUUGUUGGUUUGCGCACCAAGGUAAUGAUUAAUAGGGACAGUUGGGGGUAUUCGUAUUCCAUUGUCAGAGGUGAAAUUCUUGGAUUUCUGGAAGACGAACUACUGCGAAAGCAUUUACCAAGGAUGUUUUCAUUAAUCAAGAACGAAAGUAG
rnacentral:rRNA from 1 species